AUUGAACGCUGGCGGCAUGCCUUACACAUGCAAGUCGAACGGCAGCACGGGAGCAAUCCUGGUGGCGAGUGGCGAACGGGUGAGUAAUAUAUCGGAACGUGCCCGGUCGUGGGGAUAACGUAGCGAAAGCUACGCUAAUACCGCAUACGAUCUACGGAUGAAAGCGGGGGAUCGCAAGACCUCGUGCGAUUGGAGCGGCCGAUAUCAGAUUAGGUAGUUGGUGAGGUAAAGGCUCACCAAGCCGACGAUCUGUAGCUGGUCUGAGAGGACGACCAGCCACACUGGGACUGAGACACGGCCCAGACUCCUACGGGAGGCAGCAGUGGGGAAUAUUGGACAAUGGGCGAAAGCCUGAUCCAGCAAUGCCGCGUGAGUGAUGAGGGCCUCGGUUGUAAGCUCUUUACCCGUACGAUG
rnacentral:rRNA from 1 species